AGAAUGAACGCUGGCGGCAUGGAUUAGGCAUGCAAGUCGAACGGGGCCCGUCGGGGCCCAGUGGCGGAAGGGUGAGUAACACGUGAGCAACCCGCCCCCAAGGCCGGAACAAGCGCUGGAAACGGCGUCUGAAACCGGAUGAGGACCCCCACCGCAUGGCGGGUCGUCCAAAUAUUCAUACCCCUGGGGAUGGGCUCGCGGCCCAUUAGCUUGUCGGCGGGGCAACGGCCCACCGAGGCGACGACGGGUAGGUGGUCUGAGAGGAUGGUCACCCACACUGGGACUGAGACACUGCCCAGACUCCUGCGGGAGGCUGCAGUCGAGAAUCUUCCGCAAUGGGCGCAAAGCCUGACGGAGCGAUGCCGCGUGAGGGACGGAGGCCUUCGGGUCGUGAACCUCUGUCGCCCGGGACGAUAGUGACGGUACCGGGAAAGGAAGCCACGGCUAACCACGUGCCAGCCGCCGC
rnacentral:rRNA from 1 species